rnacentral:rRNA from 1 species
GACGAACGCUGGCGGCGUGCUUAACACAUGCAAGUCGAACGAUGAAGCUGGAGCUUGCUCCGGUGGAUUAGUGGCGAACGGGUGAGUAACACGUGAGCAAUCUGCCCUUGACUCUGGGAUAACUGCGGGAAACUGUAGCUAAUACCGGAUACGAGGCUCGCAGGCAUCUUCGGGUCUGGAAAGAAUUUCGGUCAAGGAUGAGCUCGCGGCCUAUCAGCUUGUUGGUGAGGUAAUGGCUCACCAAGGCGACGGCGGGUAGCCGGCCUGAGAGGGUGACCGGCCACACUGGGACUGAGACACGGCCCAGACUCCUACGGGAGGCAGCAGUGGGGAAUAUUGCACAAUGGGCGAAAGCCUGAUGCAGCAACGCCGCGUGAGGGAUGAAGGCCUUCGGGUUGUAAGCCUCUUUUAGCAGGGAAGAAGCGAAAGUGACGGUACCUGCAGAAAAAGCACCGGCUAACUACGUGCCAGCCGCCGCGGUAA